rnacentral:rRNA from 1 species
UACGGAGGAUGCGAGCGUUAUCCGGAUUUAUUGGGUUUAAAGGGAGCGCAGACGGGAGAUUAAGUCAGUUGUGAAAGUUUGCGGCUCAACCGUAAAAUUGCAGUUGAUACUGGUUUCCUUGAGUGCAGUUGAGGCAGGCGGAAUUCGUGGUGUAGCGGUGAAAUGCUUAGAUAUCACGAAGAACCCCGAUUGCGAAGGCAGCUUGCUAAACUGUAACUGACGUUCAUGCUCGAAAGUGUGGGUAUCAAACAGGAUUAGAUACCCCGGUACUGACUGACU